rnacentral:SRP_RNA from 1 species
CCUGGCCAGGCGCGGUAGGGAGCAGAGCUGGCG